rnacentral:misc_RNA from 1 species
GCCUCUUUGUCUCUCUGUCUGUUACUGUGAAGCUUCUUUAUCUGAGUAGUUUUCUUUUUACCCUCACAAGUUUAAUUGCUUUGGAUCCAUUCCCAUACGGCAUAGGCAUAACCCCUCCCUUUUCUUUUAUAUAUAUUUGGUUUUUGUGCCCACGCUUAGCUGCUCCAAGAAAGAAACGAAAGAAAGAUAUUGCAUUUUAAAAACCCUUUCAAGUAGUCCACCUGCAAGACUUCUCUACCACUUGACUCUUCUCAUCAACUCUUCUGCUGCUUCAAACCUUAUGGAAGAAUAUUAUUAUUCGAGGAACCAUGUACCAGCCUUUGGAAGCUGGGACUGGAAUAAUGACCUCCCUUUCACUCAGUGCUUUGAAUCUGCUAGACAAGCUGGGUUGCUUCGUUACAGUUAUUCUGAAGAUCGGGAUUUAUAUGUUGCUGGUGAUUUGUAUGAAAAUGAUGUGGUCACACCGGCCAUGAUUGUCGUUCCUCGCCGAAGGGGAAAAGUACGUCAACCCCGUGUCAAAGAAGAGAAAAGGAAGCAGCAAAGUUGGGUGGUUGGUGACGUGAAAGAACCACCGAGCCCCACUGCUGCUCCUCCUUCUAAUCCUAUAAUGACCAGGCCAACACCUAAGCCUGUUGAUGAAGACUUAUACAAAAUCCCACCAGAGCUCCUUUAUGCAAAGCCCAAAAAGGCAUGCACCCCAUUUUAAUCUCUUUCUAUCUUCUUUUAAUUCAAUUAUUAUCAUCACCCUCCAUAAUUUCAUCUUAUCUAGCUUUAAUUUCUGUCAUGCUUGAUUAUGCAUCUUUUUGACUUUGCACUAAACUUUGCUUCUUUCUUUGUUGUUAAUUGUGCAGAAGAGAGGUUUGGGCUUCUUUUCAAGCUGCUUGCUGCCAACUUGUGUAUUGUGAAGCUUGUAGGAGAAGUACAUACAUUUGGGAAUGAGAAGAAUAUUAUACAUAAUUGAAAAACUAUAAGUGUUUUUAUGCACUUAAAGGUUUUCCACGAGAUUAUUAUUGUAGAGGAAUAUUGCGAGCUACUGCAAUUAUCUAUUUGAAGGUUGUUAUUUUAAUUUCCUUUUCUUUUGCCAGACAAGGCCUUCUUUGUCUCAAAUGCCUUACUUUUGGUUAGGUAAAUUACUUUUUGAGAAGUGAAGAAAUUGAGAGUCUCUAACUUCUUAGACAACUUGAAGUUCUUGCUUAUGACACUUCAAGUGGAUAAGGAGGAGAUUAGAAAUGAAGGCAUGUUAAAAAAAAGAGAUGGGUGCUUAGCUUUCUUAUUUGUUUUGUUCUUUUUUAUUGAUGUGGAGCAAUGUAUAUUCCCUUCUAUUGAGUACUAACUUUGCA